ACAUGUGUAGGGUGGAGAUGUACGGCUGUUGGACUGCGUAGCUUCUAGCUUGAUCCAGACGCAUUUUUCGUCCGCCUCCGACAGCCGAUUCCUCCUCCUGACUCAAGUGCUUCUGAAACACAGGAAGCAGGAGACGUAGUCGCGGACCGGCACCCAGUGCCGAGCGCCGCUGGACACGGGAAUGGCCCGCCAUUCCUGAAUACGCGCCCGAGCACCGACCGUGAGAGUCGUGUGUGCCGAUCGCCGUUUCCGGUAGCCCCGGAAACCAU
rfam:Pseudomonas aeruginosa PAO1, complete genome.